rnacentral:misc_RNA from 1 species
UCUCCGUAGGUGAACCUGCGGAGGGAUCAUUACCGAGCUCAUGCCCUUACGGGUAGAUCUCCCACCCUGUGUUAUUAUUACCUUUGUUGCUUUGGCGGGCCGCCAGGCUCCGGUCAGGCUAUCGGCUUCGGCUGGUAAGCGCCCGCCAGAGGACCCUAUAUCCUGAUUAUUAGUGUCGUCUGAGUACUAUAUAAUAGUUAAAACUUUCAACAACGGAUCUCUUGGUCCUG